rnacentral:rRNA from 1 species
GACGAACGCUGGCGGCGUGCUUAACACAUGCAAGUCGAACGGAAAGGCCCUGCUUUUGUGGGGUGCUCGAGUGGCGAACGGGUGAGUAACACGUGAGUAACCUGCCCUUGACUUUGGGAUAACUUCAGGAAACUGGGGCUAAUACCGGAUAGGAGCUCAUGCUGCAUGGUGUGGGCUGGAAAGUUUCGGCUGUUGGGGUUGGACAUGCGGCUUCGCAGCUUGUUGGUGGGGUAGUGGCUUACAAAGGCUUUGGCGGGUAGCCGGCCUGAGAGGGUGACCGGCCACAUUGGGACUGGGAAACGGGCCAGACUCCUACGGGAGCAAGCGGUGGGGAAUAUUGCACGAUGGGCGGAAGCCGGAUGCAGCAACGCCGGGUGGUGGAGGUCGGCCGUCGGGUUGUAAACCGCUUUCGCCUGUGACGAAGCGUGUGUGACGGUAAUGGAUAAAGAAGCACCGGCUAACUACGUG